ACUAAAAUAUGUGCUUGUCAGAGCCUGAUCUGGUUUGAUCUCAGAAGCGAAGCAGUGCUGGGCCUGUUUAGUACUUGGAUGGGAGAUCACUUGGAAUAUGAGGUGCUACAGUG
rnacentral:rRNA from 1 species